AUUGAACGCUGGCGGCAUGCCUUACACAUGCAAGUCGAACGGUAACAGGUCUUCGGAUGCUGACGAGUGGCGAACGAGUGAGUAAUACAUCGGAACGUGCCCGAGAGUGGGGGAUAACGAGGCGAAAGCUUUGCUAAUACCGCAUACGAUCUCAGGAUGAAAGCAGGGGACCGCAAGGCCUUGCGCUCACGGAGCGGCCGAUGGCAGAUUAGGUAGUUGGUGGGAUAAAAGCUUACCAAGCCGACGAUCUGUAGCUGGUCUGAGAGGACGACCAGCCACACUGGGACUGAGACACGGCCCAGACUCCUACGGGAGGCAGCAGUGGGGAAUUUUGGACAAUGGGCGCAAGCCUGAUCCAGCCAUGCCGCGCGCAGGAUGAAGGCCUUCGGGUUGUAAACUGCUUUUGUACGGAACGAAAAGACUCUGGUUAAUACCUGGGGUCCAUGACGGUACCGUAAGAAUAAGCACCGGCUAACUACGUGCCAGCCGCCGCCGUAAAAC
rnacentral:rRNA from 1 species